UAUGAACGUGCACACACUUGAUUCAAAGAUGGCGGCUAGUAUGUGAGUCUCACGAAUGCUCGUAUUUUAUCUCGAUUUUUGGAAAAUAUCUCGACUUUUAGAGUUUGAUUUGGCUAUGAAUAUACUCUUUUAACAUGCCUGGUGUAAAUUGUGCGGUUUUUGGAUGUGGUUCUUGUAGAAGAACCAAAGGAAUCGGCAUUUUCAAGUUGCCCUUAGCGAAAGAUGAAAAUCACAAGAGAUGGCGCAACGAGUGGCUUGGUGUACUCAAGAAAACAAGGGAAAUGGAUAAAGAUUUUAAAAGACAGAUAGAUGAAGACAAACUCUACACUUUCGAAAAGCAUUUUUUGUCCGAAGAUAUUGAAAUAUAGAGUCAGGUUUAAGACUUUGUCUGCCUAAAUGUCAGAAGUCUUACUGAGCACCAGCGAAAACGAAAGCCAUUCCUGGCACCUUACAGGUCUACUCAAGAUUGAUGGUUUGGCUUUUUGAUGGAAUUCCUGCAGUAUCUUCAGAGCUGGAAGGAGAGCACUGAAAACCGAGAGGGUGAGUUUACCCAAAAUGCAAGAUCCAGGAUGUUCCUCUCUUGGCAGACAUACGAAGGCUUCCAGAUUUCUGCAAGGUCUACAAUCGAGUGCACCAGGUUUCUUCUUUCAGAGGGGAUGGAGUAUGUCCUGACAGAAAGGUUCUGUCAAGAUCCUGUGGAAGAAUAUUUUGGAAAGCAGAGGCAGUU